rnacentral:rRNA from 1 species
UACGGAGGGGGCUAGCGUUAUUCGGAAUUACUGGGCGUAAAGCGCACGUAGGCGGCUUUGUAAGUCAGAGGUGAAAGCCUGGAGCUCAACUCCAGAACUGCCUUUGAGACUGCAUCGCUUGAAUCCAGGAGAGGUGAGUGGAAUUCCGAGUGUAGAGGUGAAAUUCGUAGAUAUUGGGAAGAACACCGGUGGCGAAGGCGGCUCGCUGGCUCGUAUCUGACGCUCAGGCGCGACAGCGUGGGGAUCAAACAGG